rnacentral:rRNA from 1 species
GAUGAACGCUGGCGGCGUGCCUAAUACAUGCAAGUCGAGCGAACAGACGAGGAGCUUGCUCCUCUGACGUUAGCGGCGGACGGGUGAGUAACACGUGGAUAACCUACCUAUAAGACUGGGAUCACUUCGGGAAACCGGAGCUAAUCCCGUAUAAUAUAUUGAACCGCAUGGUUCGAUAGUAAAAGACGGUUUUGCUGUCACUUAUAGAUGGAUCCGCGCCGCAUUAGCUAGUUGGUACGGUAACGGCUUACCAAGGCGACGAUGCGUAGCCGACCUGAGAGGGUGAUAGGCGACACUGGAAGUGAGACAGGGUCCAGACGACUACGGGAGGCAGCAGUAGGGAAUGUUACGCAAUGGGCGAAAGCCUGACGGAGCAACGCCGCGUGAGUGAUGAAGGUCUUGGGAUCGUAAAACUCUGUUAUUAGGGAAGAACAAAUGUGUAAGGAACUAUGCACGGCUUGACGGUACCUAAUCAGAAAGCCACGGCUAACUACGUG